rnacentral:lncRNA from 1 species
UCUUUCUCCACUUGCUUCUCCAAUGUGUUUUCACAGUGUGGUGUGUUGUUCUCAGCCAGUUUCAGCUGUCAUCUUCUAGUGAAAGCUGGGCUUUGGGAUCACUGGUAGCUGGGAAUCACUGAAUUUAAGCUGUUGCUCAGGUCUUUCUCCUCUACAAAGAAGCUUUAUUGCCAAGAUUUACUCUGAAAAUUACCUACACUACUGACUGCAGACAUCUACAAAUGUAGAAGCUGAUAAAUCGUAUCUUCUUCCCUCCCGUGACUGUCCUGUUUCCUGUGGAAUUUAUACUUCUGAGUAUUUUAAAAAUUAGACCUCUGUUGAAGACAUUCGGAUUACAACUGUGAUCAUAUCUAUGCAAAGAGACAAGCUAGCUUGAGCGAUUUCGAGUUUUGUUCAGUGGAGGGACUGCUGUAUGUCAGCCAUGCUAAAGGGCAAGUGAUGGAGAUAAGCAUGAGAUCACCGUGGCACACCUGCAUGUGUAGUCAGUCUUGAAGCAAUUGCACACCUAAUUGGCUGACAGUCUUGGCAUUUUUAAAACAAACACAAGCCCUUUAAAGACAGGGGACAUAUUUAUGUAUGAAUAGCCAAGU